rnacentral:rRNA from 1 species
AGUUUAAAUUGCUAUUGAAGAAAGGGCAGGGCAAGACCGGUGCCAGCCGCCGCGGUAAUACCGGCUGCUCGAGUGAUGGCCACUAUUACUGGGUUUAAAGCGUCCGUAGCUUGAUUGUUAGGUCUCUUGGGAAAUCUUCAGGCUUAACCUUAAGGCGUCUAAGAGAUACCGGCAAUCUUGGGACUGGGAGAGGUAAACCGUACUUCGGGGGUAGGAGUGAAAUCUUGUAAUCCUCGAGGGACGACCUAUGGCGAAGGCAGUUUACCAGAACAGCUUCGACAGUGAGGGACGAAAGCUGGGGGAGCAAACGGGAUUAGAUACCCCGGUAGUCCCAGCCGUAAACAAUGUGCGUUAGGUGUAUCGGCAACCACGCGUUACUGAUGCGCCGCAGAGAAAUCGUGA